rnacentral:lncRNA from 1 species
CACUACGAAUUAAUUAACUAAGUAUUUAUUAUGCAGCAAGGACUACACGCGAUUGUUUAAAUGGUAGUAGUCACGGGAAGGAAUUUUACCGAAUCGAUUCCAGUCGACGUUUAGAGCAUGUUGAUAGCGAAAUUUAAAGUUGUGAGCGCAGGAAUUAUUAGUUAAUGGUUUUAAAAGUUGACAAGUGCGGACAUCAGGUAGAUUUUUAAACGAAAGUAAAAGUGAUACUGCUAAACCAGUUUAUUAACAUUUAAAAAAAUAUAUCAAAAUGAAUCUCAGUUGCGGUUCAA